rnacentral:rRNA from 1 species
GUGUCAGCCGCCGCGGUAAUACAGAGGUGGCAAGCGUUGUUCGGAUUUAUUGGGUGUAAAGGGCAAGUAGGCGGUUUAGUAAGUCUGUUGUGAAAUCCCAGGGCUCAACCCUGGAACUGCAAUGGAAACUACUUUACUUGAGUACCGUAGGGGUGAGGGGAAUUCUUGGUGUAAGGGUGAAAUCUGUAGAUAUCAAGAGGAAUACCCAUGGCGAAGGCACCUCACUGGCCGGUAACUGACGCUGAAUUGCGAAAGCUAGGUUAGCAAACAGGAUUAGAUACCCUGGUAGUCCUAGCCGUAAACGAUGUAGAUUAGGUGUUGGGGGAAUCGAACCCCUCAGUGCCAAAGUUAACACAUUAAAUCUACCACCUGGGGAGUACGGUCGCAAGACUGAAACUCAAAGGAAUUGACGGGGACCCGCACAAGCGGUGGAGCAUGUGGUUUAAUUCGAGGCUACGCGAGGAACCUUACCUGGACUUGACUCUCUAUCAGUAGUCCUGAUGAAAGUCGGGACGACCGUAUCCAAUCGGAGGAUAGUACAGGUGCUGCAUGGCUGUCGUCAGCUCGUGCUGUGAAGUGUUGGGUUAAGUCCCGCAACGAGCGCAACCAUUGCCUUUAGUUGCCAACGAGUAAUGUCGGGAACUCUAGAGGGACUGCCGGUGAUAAACCGGAGGAAGGUGGAGAUGACGUCAAGUCAGCAUGGCCCUUAUGUCCAGGGCGACACACGUGCUACAAUGGUCGGUACAAAGGGCAGCAAACCCGCGAGGGCAAGCAAAUCCCAAAAAGCCGGCCUCAGUUCGGAUAGCAGGCUGCAAUUCGCCUGCUUGAAGCUGGAAUCGCUAGUAAUGGCGCAUCAGACAUGGCGCCGUGAAUACGUUCCCGGGUCUUGCACACACCGCCCGUC